CACCUCUAGCAUUUCAAGUAUUAGAGGCAUUGCCUGCCCAGUGACUAUAGUUUAACGGCCGCGGUAUCCUGACCGUGCAAAGGUAGCAUAAUCAUUUGUUCCUUAAUUAGGGACUAGUAUGAACGGCUAGACGAGGGUUCAACUGUCUCUUAUUUUUAAUCAGUGAAAUUGACCUUCCAGUGAAGAGGCUGGAAUACAAUAAUAAGACGAGAAGACCCUAUGGAGCUUAAAUUAAUAAGCUUAAUUAUUACUUUAACACCCUAAUGGAACAAAACAAAAAAUAUAAGCUUAAAAUUUUGGUUGGGGUGACCUCGGAGAACAAAAAAUCCUCCGAAAGAUUAUAACAUAGACCUACAAGUCAAAGUAACUUAAUUAUCCAAUUGACCCAAAAAAUUGAUCAACGGACCAAGUUACCCUAGGGAUAACAGCGCAAUCCUAUUUAAGAGUCCAUAUCGACAAUAGGGUUUACGACCUCGAUGUUGGAUCAGGACAUCCCAAUGGUGCAGAAGCUAUUAAUGGUUCGUUUGUUCAACG
rnacentral:rRNA from 3 species